rnacentral:lncRNA from 1 species
UUUUAUCUUUUUUUGGAAAUCAGAAGGAAUGGAGAAAAAUUGAUAGCCUUUAUAUGUCAUGAACUACAAGCAACAUUCUCAGUCAAAAUAACAUGGUUGUGUAAUAAUACAACGUGCACAAAUUAAAUGCCAAAAUUGGCGAAUAAACAAUAAUAAUGAUAAAAAGUCGAUAAGAGAGCGCGUGGGCUGCCCUUGCGUCGGCUAGAUGUCGGCGCUUCUAGAGGCGCUACAACAGCCUCAAUUCCUCACGAUCGUUUAUCACCUGGCUUUUGCUCUUGGUCUUCAUUUACCUUAUCGAAUUGGAAAUACUUGGUGAGAAGAUUUGGGACGACAAAAUUUGAUAUCCAGUACAAAAAGAAAAGUCCCGCACUGCAUAAUUGCACCAAAAUAUUUUUAUCAAAACGUUUUCUAAGAUUAAAAUGCUUUCUAGAAUUUUGAAAACAGAAAGAAAGAAACCAACCUCGUUAUGAGAAACUCCCUUAUGUCACCCGACUUUGCUGGAGAGGUGGCGCCAAGAAUCAGUGAAUCCGCGAUGGCAUUGGUUUUUAACGAGGCGCAUCUCUGAUUGUUCAGAAAAAUUGUCGUAGUAUGUUGACUGCUAGUGCUUCGGAGCCAACGCAACUUAUGAUUUGUCUUCAAUUUCUGGUUGUGUUCGAGUUGUGAAUUUAUGGAUAAUAAAGAGGAGUAGCUUGUUGAGAGACUCAUAAUUUGAGAAGUUACAGGGUCCAACCACGUAGAAGCAGAGUUCAGCUUACGAUUGAGGAUAGUGUCCGUAGCUGAGCGAUUGAGCUUUUUUUUUUUUUUUUUUUUCACUCAAAUGGGAAAUGAAGUAUUAACAUCUGGGUCCCUUAGGUUUGUUGAAAUCAUAAAUAAUAAAGAUAUAGUUAGCAAUUUUUCAAGCAG